rnacentral:tRNA from 1 species
GCGGCCUUCGUCUAGUCUGGUCUAGGACGCCAGCUUUUCAUGCUGGUAACACGGGUUCGAAUCCCGUAGGCCGUGCCG